CUAUAGCAUCCAGCCUGAAAAUGUAAUGCCAGCGGUAGGAGUGGUGGAGGGCUCUGGCUGCGGGCGGCUCCGGCAGAAAGUGCUCGCUGGAGCUGGGGACCGAGGGAAGAGCCUGGCACUGUUUGGCACCACAAGCCGUGACUACCACCCUAGUAAAGCCAAGGUGGGAUGGACCCAAAGGACGUCACCCCCAGCUUCUCCUCUGGGACUGAGAGAAGACUAAAGGAUUUGUUAUUUUUACACUGCAAUCCAAUAAAUUCAACAAUCUGGUCCA